rnacentral:lncRNA from 1 species
CAGUUGAGUACGAAAGGGAAACGGUUUUUCGUGACAACACACAAGUAAAUGUAACGCGUACAGUGAAAUGUGAAAUUACUUGCCCCGCUCAUUGAAGAGCCACUCAAUUCAUUCAAAUUUCUCAUCCAAAUCUUUCAUAACGGCGAGCAUGUUUCGGUAAUGUUUUUCGCCAGAAUAGCACAGGCGAAAAAGUAUAGAGGUGUACGCCGUUCGAGCCGUCCAGCCGCCAGUAGCUCCUCUAUACAGGCAGUGCCGGUGUUGUCAUUUGAGCCCAUCAUGGUAUUAAGCUUCGCC